rnacentral:rRNA from 1 species
AAGGAUCAUUACAGUAGUCGCCUAGGUGCCGCAAGGCUCCUAGGCAACCUACCACCCUUUGUUUAUUACACUUUGUUGCUUUGGCAGACCUGCCCUCGGGCUGCUGGCUCCGGCCGGCGAGCGUCUGCCAGAGGACCUAAACUCUGUUUGUCUAUACUGUCUGAGUACUAUAUAAUAGUUAAAACUUUCAACAACGGAUCUCUUGGUUCUGGCAUCGAUGAAGAACGCAGCGAAAUGCGAUAAGUAAUGUGAAUUGCAGAAUUCAGUGAAUCAUCGAAUCUUUGAACGCACAUUGCGCCCCCUGGUAUUCCGGGGGGCAUGCCUGUCCGAGCGUCAUUACAACCCUCAAGCUCAGCUUGGUGUUGGGCCCCGCCGCCCCGGCGGGCCCUAAAGUCAGUGGCGGUGCCGUCCGGCUCCGAGCGUAGUAAUUCUUCUCGCUCUGGAGGCCCGGUCGUGUGCUCGCCAGCAACCCCCAAUUUUUUUCAGGUUGACCUCGGAUCAGGUAGGGAUACCCGCUGAACUUAA